GCGAACGUUAGCUCAUUUUGGGGGCUGACAGCUUUACGAAAUGCUCUAUAACAAUGUAAUUCUAAAAUACCCCAAACGCACCUGUGUUUACUUACACACACUUUGUUAAAAUGCAUCAACUUAUUGAUAAGCGGGACAGUGGUGCAGCUCAAUUGGCUAACGUUAGCUGGCUUGUUAGCUAGUUAGCAUGCUAAGUAAGCGUUAACACGCUAGCUAGCGAAAUGUGUUUGCCUUGUCAGCUGACGAGACAGGACUGUUGACAUUGACACUGCCUAUCAAUGUACGUUACGAUUCAACAUAAAAAUGGCUGGAGGGGCAAACAGACUGAGCAGCGCAUCUGCAAGAGGAGACUUAGCAGAAGUCGAGAUGUUAUUACAGAACGGAGCAGAUGUUAAUGAAAACAAUGUAUUCGGCAGGACACCGUUACAGGUGAUGAAACUUGGUAACCCCGCCAUCGCCGAAGCGCUGCUGAGGGCGAACGCAAAUCCAAACGUGCGCGACCAUGUCAGAGGUCUCACCAUCACUCAUGACGCUGCAAGGGAUGGAUAUGCAGACACCUUACACGUACUGAUGGAUCAUGGCGCAGAUGUUAAUCUCCUGGACAAUGAUGGCAAUCUUCCAUUGCAUCUAGCCGCAAGAGAAGGCUAUCUUGAUGUGGUCCAGCUCCUUGUUGGUUGUACGAUGGAAGCCACAAGGUGCAACUCCAAAGGCCACACACCUUAUGAUCUGGCGACUAUGAACCAUAGAGUAUCCAUUGCGCAAUACAUUCAGGGGCACACUAAUUAAUUAAUAUAUAUCGGACAAUCCUGGCUGGGAUAGCGAGGUGGUAGGCCUGCAUAAGAACGAGGAAGAAAGUAGCAAAAACAUGUAGGUCCAUCUACCUCUCUCUCUGGUUACAAUGUAUUUGGAUGUUUUUCAGACAUGAUAGCCUCAAUUCUCAAUCAUAAAGGAGGACCCUAGCAUAAAGGAGGACCCUAGCAUGAAGGAGGACCCUAGCAUAAAGGAGGACCCUAGCAUGAAGGAGGACCCUAGCAUGAAGGAGGACCCUAGCAUAAAGGAGGACCCUAGCAUGAAGGUUUCCUCCAAACUUAAUAAGAAAACAUUCGUUUUUGACUCCAAUUUUCUCCAUCGCAGAACAAAUGUGUCGAGAUUUUUUGCCACUGGAAUGAUCAUUUGAAUCUAUUUAAUAUAUUAAAGCAUUUUUAGGCCGACAACAUUUCCCUAACAACAUCUCCAGCUGCUUUGUUUCUAUUUUCUUCUCAUGUUUUUCCGAUAUUUCCUAGUGGUACACGUAAGGUGGGGAUUUGUCUUUCAAAUUCAAUUCACUACCAACAUUUUAACUAUUUGAGAUGUGGGUUUGAUACUUCAACGACUUUUUAAAAUUAAAUGAGGAACAAUAUUUUAUUGUUUAACUUCAAGACCAUAGGCUGUAGGUAUUAGAAUAGAUGACCCUCUUCAUCCAAGGUAGCCUACUCUUGUGCGCAUAGCAAAUGUCUUAUUUUGUCCCGAUAGCCCAUUUUGUUAAUUAAACCCAUGCUAUUUUGAGUAAUAACCCAGUGACCUAGGCCUACCUUCAUUCUUCUUGUCCAGACCAUUGGUCAUAAAUUAUCAAUCUAAUGGUAGCCUGACUGUAUCGGCAAUUAUUUUCGAUUUUACGUGCACUUGUAAAUAAUCAAACAAAUAGAUUUUGUAAGGAACUGUGAAAGCACGCGUUUACUAAUAUUCACGUUUUAUUUUUUUUACCAAAGACAACAACUGUCUGCAGGUCUUACCUGAUUUUCUGUUUGGCUUUUAGAUAGCAAUUUGGUUGAAAUAUAAUGUACGUAGGGCUAUACUACCAGUAUGCCUCGUUUUACUGUAUUAUCUUCUAUUUGAAUAUGGCUAAUCGAGGAUUUUCACUGUUUGAUUUGUGAGACGAAUAAAUUCAUUUGUCCACUGAU